rnacentral:rRNA from 1 species
AUACAUGCAGUCGAGCGGACAGAAGGGAGCUUGCUCCCGGAUGUUAGCGGCGGACGGGUGAGUAACACGUGGGUAACCUGCCUGUAAGACUGGGAUAACUCCGGGAAACCGGAGCUAAUACCGGAUAGUUCCUUGAACCGCAUGGUUCAAGGAUGAAAGACGGUUUCGGCUGUCACUUACAGAUGGACCCGCGGCGCAUUAGCUAGUUGGUGGGGUAAUGGCUCACCAAGGCGACGAUGCGUAGCCGACCUGAGAGGGUGAUCGGCCACACUGGGACUGAGACACGGCCCAGACUCCUACGGGAGGCAGCAGUAGGGAAUCUUCCGCAAUGGACGAAAGUCUGACGGAGCAACGCCGCGUGAGUGAUGAAGGUUUUCGGAUCGUAAAGCUCUGUUGUUAGGGAAGAACAAGUGCGAGAGUAACUGCUCGCACCUUGACGGUACCUAACCAGAAAGCCACGGCUAACUACGUGCCAGCAGCCGCGGUAAUACGUAGGUGGCAAGCGUUGUCCGGAAUUAUUGGGCGUAAAGGGCUCGCAGGCGGUUUCUUAAGUCUGAUGUGAAAGCCCCCGGCUCAACCGGGGAGGGUCAUUGGAAACUGGGAAACUUGAGUGCAGAAGAGGAGAGUGGAAUUCCACGUGUAGCGGUGAAAUGCGUAGAGAUGUGGAGGAACACCAGUGGCGAAGGCGACUCUCUGGUCUGUAACUGACGCUGAGGAGCGAAAGCGUGGGGAGCGAACAGGAUUAGAUACCCUGGUAGUCCACGCCGUAAACGAUGAGUGCUAAGUGUUAGGGGGUUUCCGCCCCUUAGUGCUGCAGCUAACGCAUUAAGCACUCCGCCUGGGGAGUACGGUCGCAAGACUGAAACUCAAAGGAAUUGACGGGGGCCCGCACAAGCGGUGGAGCAUGUGGUUUAAUUCGAAGCAACGCGAAGAACCUUACCAGGUCUUGACAUCCUCUGACAACCCUAGAGAUAGGGCUUUCCCUUCGGGGACAGAGUGACAGGUGGUGCAUGGUUGUCGUCAGCUC